rnacentral:lncRNA from 1 species
AUGCUCUGGAUCAUCAGCAAAUGUGCUUGAGAGGAUGUUGAAGAUCUCCCUAAAAUUUGGUGGGCUCACGACACUCGUAGCUCACCUUCUCACUUCCCGAACUCCAGGCUGAAACCCUGAAGAACUCACUGAAACCCUGCACACUUUUUCUUUCUUUUCUUUGUUUUUCUCUCAGAAGGAUAUAGACCUUCACCUUGCACACAAGGAUUUCUCACACCCAGAUUUUCUCUCCAAAAUUUUUCUUGCACACGCCCCACUCUUCUCCUCCUUUUAAAAUAAUGUCAAACGUCUUAUCCACGUGAGAGGAUAAAGAUGAGUAAUUGCACAUUUGAAUUCAAAUCAAAUUUUAAAUUCAAAUGGAAACCAAUUUAUUCAUAUCCACUAAGGGUGUGAGAAGAGGAGGGUGU